rnacentral:lncRNA from 1 species
CAGAGCUGCACACGAUACUCCCCAAGUGACUCAACAUCCCCUGCGUCUGACUGCGUGUAGAUUGGAGAUGCUUUGUGUGUUUGAGAUGCUUUAGGGGGGCACCCAGCAGUGCCCCCAUCUUCUUUUCUUCUGCCCCUCAGAUAUUCCCUACUUUAUGUGAAAUAAACUGGCAGAUUUUCAACCCGGAUUCAUCUUUCACAGUCCCUGCCUUGGCUGAUGGUAAACUCUCUGCAUUGCCGACCCUGCUUCAACACAGACAAUUCCUCUUCCGCCUUUAAGAUUUAGUGCGUGCCCUCCGUUCUCAGAUACCUCGGUGUGUCCUACCCGCAGAUAAGAAUCCGGCUCAGAGACCUUUCUGAAGGGGCUGCAACACCCCCGGGAAAUUGUCCCAGGAGUGUGACUCGGGAAGACGAGUACAUGAAGCAUCUUCUGCUUUACUGGAAGAGUCAGUGGCAACUAGGACAUGUCCAUGUGGGCAGCGACACACUGAUUUUGGCAGGGAAUCUUGAUGCACCAAAUAACCGAAGAACUGGGGUUCUUUCCGAAGUCUAGGGCGUCUCUGACUUUCCUCGGUGUCCUUCAGGAAGCAGAAGAGGACAAGCAGAGAUGGAGGAAGAUGCUGGUCCCGCGGUUCAAGGGGAGGCCAGGCAAAGCCGCCUGUGCUGGCGCUGCCUCUGCAACACAGCGUCUCAUCCAAGCUUCGUUUCUCCCGCGGGAACUGGUGGCAGGGAUGAGGUAUCACCACCACCACGCACCACCACUGCACCCGAAGUAAAACGAACGACGCAGAGAGCCGGAGCCAGAACUUCUCCCAGUGAGGAUGCUUUCUAUUAGGCAGGAGUAGAAGGGCUUUCUCCCCCCCCCAGGUUUUUUUUUAUGAUUGACUCAUAGGUUUAAAAAUCUGUGAAGUCACACCUUGGUCAAGGAGAAUACAAGAAAUCAUUUGCAAGCUUUUUUGAAUUUUAAAUAAGAUUUUUCAAAAUAGUUUACAUUAACACCUUAGAGACAAGAGUUCUAGAAAUAAAGUAAUAAAACUUAAAAAUUAUAUUUGCUCU